GAUGAACGCUGGCGGCGUGCCUAAUACAUGCAAGUCGAGCGAACGGACGAGAAGCUUGCUUCUCUGAUGUUAGCGGCGGACGGGUGAGUAACACGUGGAUAACCUACCUAUAAGACUGGGAUAACUUCGGGAAACCGGAGCUAAUACCGGAUAAUAUUUUGAACCGCAUGGUCCAAAAGUGAAAGACGGUCUUGCUGUCACUUAUAGAUGGAUCCGCGCUGCAUUAGCUAGUUGGUAAGGUAACGGCUUACCAAGGCAACGAUGCAUAGCCGACCUGAGAGGGUGAUCGGCCACACUGGAACUGAGACACGGUCCAGACUCCUACGGGAGGCAGCAGUAGGGAAUCUUCCGCAAUGGGCGAAAGCCUGACGGAGCAACGCCGCGUGAGUGAUAAAGGUCUUCGGAUCGUAAAACUCUGUUAUUAGGGAAGAACAUAUGUGUAAGUAACUGUGCACAUCUUGACGGUACCUAAUCAGAAAGCCACGGCUAACUACGUG
rnacentral:rRNA from 1 species